rnacentral:rRNA from 1 species
AUGAUAUGCCCAGGUCCUGCUGUCCGUGUAGGCAGGGAGGCGGCAAUGCUAGAUGGUAUUGUUUUUGAAGAUAUGGCAACGAUGGAUUUUUGCCAGUUAGUAGUGGAUGAGUUAAAGCGUGCAGCUAUCAGAUGGCAAGAUCCAAAUAUCAUUCAAGCAGGUCCAGAAGGUUGUGGAGUAGUGCUAGUCCUUAUGUAUCUUGAUUGUUGCCUACUGAAGGCCGUGUCUGUGAUGCAUGUGCAGACUCCGCGUGCAAAUUUCCUGACAGAGAAGGUGCUGAAUUCAAUUUUCUUGAAAGAUAUUGUAAAGAAGGGUGGGAAAAUUUUGGACGGCUAUGUUUUUGGAAAACUUGGGUGGAAAUCCCGUAACCAGAUUGCAUAUUGCCAGCAAGUUCCCCCUGGGCAAAGUCGUGAUCGCGCUUUUCCUGAUGCACAUGUCCCUACCUGCGCGCCAAAAGAACAUGCACAGGAUGAGGCUGGUUGUAGCCAGAAUGCAGAUGUAGCUUUUAAAGUACAAAAAUCGAGUAAUGCCAUGGAAGAUGGUGGUGUAUUUGCGAAGAUUGAUGGCUUAUUGCAGAAGGUGGAUGAGUUGGCCGCUGAAGUUCCCACGACGUCUGAUCGGCUGGGCUGCAUUGCUGGCAUUUUCCCUGAAGGUCAUGGACCAAGGGAAGAAUCAAUGAAGGAGGCUACAGAGCGUGAUGUUGCUAUCAUCGGUAGUAUCCGGAGCGCAACAUCACACAUUCGCACCGCUUUCAUUGACUUGAAGAAGAAACAAGAUGCCAUAUGCAAAGGCUUUGAAGAUGAUGAUCGUAUUAUUGUGAGUCAGAUUAGCAAGCAGAAGAAUGACGCGUCUGCCCCUGUACAUGGCGAUGAUUGUACCGGGCAACGGGGUGAGGAGGUUGUUGUGAAUGUAACUGAUGAUGAUGAAGAGAAGCAAGAGCCCCCUACUGAAUCUCCUCCGCAUGAUUUUAGUGACGACAAUGUCAUUGAUGACGACUUGCUGGGUGGUGAUUCUGAUGGGGGUUGCAAGGUUGUUGACGACAUCAUUGAUUAUACGGAGGGAAUUUUUGCACCAGACCUGCCCAUAGCCCAAGGAGAUUGCGACAAAUCUAAUGAGCCAGAGCUUGGUUAG